rnacentral:ncRNA from 20 species
AGUAGCCAAAAAUUGUCAUCGGCUCCAAAUUGGGAUUACUAAUCAGGCGAACAUCACCAAAAUUCGGGUCAUAAACUCCGCCAAAAAACAUCGCCUUUAGCACUAAUAGAAAUGCACCCAAACCCAGAAAAAUCAAGUGAUGACCUAAAAUCAAACCCAACUGCUGAGGAUCAUUCCA